ACUUUCUUAGUAUAAUCAGUACRUCUGACUUCCAAUCAGC
rnacentral:tRNA from 1 species